rnacentral:lncRNA from 1 species
ACAGAUUGUUGAUGAAGGUUAUCAUCCAUUGUCUUCCUUGCCACCCAACUUAUGUCCAUGACCAUGCCGUGCGCCUCUUGACCACCUUAUCUUUACCCACUUCUUUAAGGUCAUGCUUUUGGUCUGCUUACUGAGUACUUGAACACUAAGGCAGGGUGCUCGUGGUGAUGGAGAUCAACAGAGACUAUUUUAAUUGUCCCUCCCUA